rnacentral:rRNA from 1 species
UCGAGGAUCUUCCGCAAUGGGCGCAAGCCUGACGGAGCGACGCCGCGUGUGGGAUGAAGGCCUUCGGGUUGUAAACCACUGUCACUCGUUAAGAAAGGGUCCGGCGUCAACAGCGUCGGGCACCGACGAAGGCGAGAGAGGAAGCCACGGCUAACUUCGUGCCAGCAGCCGCGGUAAGACGAAGGUGGCGAGCGUUGUUCGGAAUCACUGGGCAUAAAGCGCACGUAGGCGGUGCCGUAAGUCGGGUGUGUAAUCCCUCGGCCUAACCGGGGAACUGCGCCCGAUACUGCGGUGCUUGAGGACCAGAGGGGUGCAUGGAAUUUCCGGUGGAGCGGUGAAAUGCGUUGAUAUCGGAAGGAACUCCGGCGGCGAAAGCGAUGCACUGGCUGGUUUCUGACGCUGAGGUGCGAAAGCCAGGGGAGCAAACGGG